CUUGCUUCUCUGAUGUUAGCGGCGGACGGGUGAGUAACACGUGGAUAACCUACCUAUAAGACUGGGAUAACUUCGGGAAACCGGAGCUAAUACCGGAUAAUAUUUUGAACCGCAUGGUUCAAAAGUGAAAGACGGUCUUGCUGUCACUUAUAGAUGGAUCCGCGCUGCAUUAGCUAGUUGGUAAGGUAACGGCUUACCAAGGCAACGAUGCAUAGCCGACCUGAGAGGGUGAUCGGCCACACUGGAACUGAGACACGGUCCAGACUCCUACGGGAGGCAGCAGUAGGGAAUCUUCCGCAAUGGGCGAAAGCCUGACGGAGCAACGCCGCGUGAGUGAUGAAGGUCUUCGGAUCGUAAAACUCUGUUAUUAGGGAAGAACAUAUGUGUAAGUAACUGUGCACAUCUUGACGGUACCUAAUCAGAAAGCCACGGCUAACUACGUGCCAGCAGCCGCGGUAAUACGUAGGUGGCAAGCGUUAUCCGGAAUUAUUGGGCGUAAAGCGCGCGUAGGCGGUUUUUUAAGUCUGAUGUGAAAGCCCACGGCUCAACCGUGGAGGGUCAUUGGAAACUGGAAAACUUGAGUGCAGAAGAGGAAAGUGGAAUUCCAUGUGUAGCGGUGAAAUGCGCAGAGAUAUGGAGGAACACCAGUGGCGAAGGCGACUUUCUGGUCUGUAACUGACGCUGAUGUGCGAAAGCGUGGGGAUCAAACAGGAUUAGAUACCCUGGUAGUCCACGCCGUAAACGAUGAGUGCUAAGUGUUAGGGGGUUUCCGCCCCUUAGUGCUGCAGCUAACGCAUUAAGCACUCCGCCUGGGGAGUACGACCGCAAGGUUGAAACUCAAAGGAAUUGACGGGGACCCGCCCAAGCGGUGGAGCAUGGGGUUUAAUUCGAAGCAACGCGAAGAACCUUACCAAA
rnacentral:rRNA from 1 species